rnacentral:tRNA from 1 species
GUUGUCGUGGGCCCGAGUGGGUAAGGCGAUAAAAUAUCUUUUGGGAUUUUCCCGCGCAGGUUCGAUUCCUGCCGACAUCG